rnacentral:rRNA from 1 species
UACGUAGGGGGCAAGCGUUGUCCGGAUUUAUUGGGCGUAAAGAGCGUGUAGGCGGCCAUAUCAGGUCAGCUGUGAAAACUCGAGGCUCAACCUCGAGACGUCGGUUGAAACCGUUUGGCUAGAGUCCGGAAGAGGAGAGUGGAAUUCCCGGUGUAGCGGUGAAAUGCGCAGAUAUCGGGAAGAACACCCGUGGCGAAGGCGGCUCUCUGGGACGGUACUGACGCUGAGACGCGAAAGCGUGGGGAGCGAACAGG